UGGCCUAUAGUGGGAACUCAGUAAAU
rnacentral:piRNA from 1 species